UACGGCACCACUCCGUCAAUGUGUUUAUGCUUUACCGUGCUUCUCUGGUCGGCCAUUUUAUUCGACAAUCGACCCUCUGCCUGUCCGUACUCUCUUGGACUCUCGUUGUUUCAUAACUCAUAGUUUCAUCAUUCGUUUUCAUUUCGCACUGCUCGUCCGAGUCGGUCGCUUAAGCUUCAACAAACUCAUCUCCGCAAGUCUUACACGGUUAGCCGUCUCCGCAGAGUCGUUUGAUUGUUUCAAUUCAACGCAGUACUGUGUAGCGAACGCAUCAUGGCGCAAAUCAAAGACGAGAAGAUCAGUGACACGUCGUUAAACGGCCCCAACGCACACCACGGUCCAAGUCCCAAUCAUAAGCCGAAAGAAGAGUUCCAUGGCGGCGGCGGUGGCCGCGGCGGAAGAGGCAACCGCUUCCAACCGUACGGCGGACCCAACAGAGAUCGCAAAGGUGGUCCUCCGAGAGACAAUAUGCCAAGAGGAGAGUUUCGUAAUGAUAAUAAUCAUGGUGAUAAUCAUCAAGGAGAUAAUGAUAUCAUGAAUCGAGGCAAUCGCAAUCAUUCUGAAAGUGGAAGAGGUGGAAGACGUGGCGGUGGUGUUGGUGGAGGAGUUUUCAGAGGAGGUCCACCUAAUCGAGGAGAUGAUCGUUUAACUAGAGCUGAUGCCUUAUGGAAUGAACGUUUAAUGCAAAUAAUGGGUCCAACUCAUGAACUUCCGCAAACUGAUACCACGGAAAGAAAGUUCCUUAGCCAAUGUCGUCUUUACAUAGGAAACUUGGUGGAUUGUACUGAAGAAGAAUUGAUAGAAAUGUUUAAACCUUAUGGAGAAGUUUCUGAAAAUUUUUUGAACAAAGAAAAAAUGUUUGCCUUUAUCAGACUGGAUUAUCGUACUAAUGCGGAAAAAGCUAAAAGAGAAUUAGAUGGUCAGACACGAAAAGGACGUAUGUUGAAAAUAAGAUUUGCUCCAAUUGCUGCUGCCAUUAAAGUAAAAAACCUUACUCCAUUUGUAUCCAAUGAACUCCUAGAAUAUGCUUUUUCAAUAUUUGGUGAUAUUGAACGUUGUCAAGUGAUGGUAGAUGAAAGAGGUAAUUCAACUGGUGAAGGAAUCAUUGAAUUCUCACGUAAAAAUGCAGCAAGUAAUGCUUUGAAACGUUGUUCAGAAGGUUGUUUCUUUUUGACCAGUUCACUUCGCCCUUGUGUAGUUGAAACAUAUGAGUUUGUAGAUAGUUCAGAUGGUCUCCCAGAUAAGUUGUUGCCCAAAAAAACUAUGGAUUUCCAGAAGCAAAGAGAUGUUGGUCCAAGAUUUGCCAAUCCAAAUUCUUUUGAACAUGAAUUUGGUACUCGUUGGAAACAGUUAGCUGAAUUGUAUAAAUCUAAAGAAGAUGCAUUAAAACGUGAGAUGAAAUUGGAAGAAGAAAAAUUAGAAGCCCAAAUGGAAUAUGCUCGUUAUGAACACGAGACUGAAAUGCUCCGAGAACAAUUGCGUCAACGAGAAAUGGAUAGAGAACGACAAAAAAUGGAAUGGGAAAUGAAGGAACGUCAAGCAGAGGAUCAAAGACUUAGGGAAGGAGAUAUUUUCAGGAGACAAAGUGAAGAUUUAAGCAUGAGAAUGCAUCAUCAAGAUGAAGAGAUGAGGAGGCGUCAACAAGAUAAUUCAUCAUUCAUGCAGGACCAUAGAGGAGGACCGGGUAAACCCCAAUUUGAUGGACCUCCUAUUCCUGUUGAAGGUAUGUCUGUUCGUGAACUGGAAGCUAUAACUGCACAAGGAGGAAUGGGUGGGGAAAGCCAAGUGGCAAAUCAGGUUCGACUCUGUGCGGCUUUCGGUUAACCGCGUUGUUUCCCCGAAUAAAUCAACUUGAAUAAUGCAUCAUUAUUGAGGAAUUAUGGAAGAAGUCGUGCCUCCCGUGUGCAUGUGUGUACGUGUACUACGGUGUCCACACGCGCACAGUUCUACGUAACGUUGCUGUAACGCUAUCUAAAUUGAUGGGGUUACGUGUAAGUCAUACAUUGUUUGGGCAGGGACCAACAAUAGUCCGUUCGCAGAGGAUGCUGAUUAGCGAAAAAAAGAAGAAAAGAAAAAAUGUUUUACGGCAACGUAAUAUAUCAAUUGAAGACUUUCAAUAAAGUAAACAUUUCUUAACAUAA